UUUUUUUUUUUUUUUGACGGGGAGUACAAAAAUGUUCUUACAAUUAAAGUUUUCUAAAUUUAUUAAGGAUAAUAUUAAUCAUUAUUUAAGGUUUUAUAUAGAAUUUUAAGAAAAAAUCAAUCAGGUCCAAGAUCGAUUUUUAUAGGAUUUUAGACCGGGCCGGAAACAUAAAUCACUCAAUUUGGAGAUCGGACCGAUUAAUUCGGACUAAUUUGGAUCCGACCCUUACUUAUACCUAAUUUUUUAUUAUAUUUUAUUUAUUUAUUUAACCAACCCACCACCCAUCUUAAGCUAAUCUUUCCACUAUCUCCUAACAUAGUUUAGUUCUCGUCACUUUGGCCCACAACCCAAGUCCUCAUGUCCUAGAAAUGAAGGUAGUGAAGAGUGUUCUCUUCUCUGCAAUGUUCCAUAAGUUCCAUCCAUGGCCAUGGCCCAUGGGCUCCAUCAUGACAUCACCUUCUUUAGACUCGUAUACAUCACAUUCUUUAACCCAUAUGAAUUUAACGACUCAACAAGUCAAAUAAUUCUCAGUAAUAGCAACAUCUAUCUUCCUUUUCUAAGCCCUAGUCCGCCAUGAGUUUUCACUAUGAAUUAAGAUGGUUGCUUUUACUUAUUAAUCAACUUGUUUCUUCGGCCUGAAUUCUAUAUUUAGUGAUAGCUCUCAAACCUUUUCCAAAACCAUACCACUUCUUAUGGUUGUGCUCUUCUUCCUCUCUACAUUCGUAGUUUUCUUCUCCGCCGUUGAUCUUACCCACGGCCUCGGCAUCCUCUUACUCAUUUGUCAUCCUCUCUCCUCAAAUCCCAAAAUCUAGCCCAAAUUGCUGCAAUAACAACCUAAAUUGCUCAAAUCAGGGUUCAAACUUCGGCGAUUUGAGGGUUCAAACUUAGCGUUGGAAUUUCAGCGAUUUUAGUGUUCAAAUUUCAGCGAUUUCAGUGUUAGAAUUUCGCAAUAUGAGCAAAAUGCAAAGCCAAAAUGAAGAAAAUCAGAAGAAGAAAUUACUAUUAUACUGGAUGAAAAAAUUACUUAUGGAAGAAAAAGAAACAUGUGCAAAGCCUAAAACGAAAAAAAAGUAGCAAGCUUUCAUCAAGGAUCCAACCACCUAGAAAAAUGAAAAAAAAGGAAGAAGAAGAUGAUGACGAUGAUGAGAAUGAUGAUCAAGAUAAUAUUAAUGAUGAGAUGGAUGGACCAAAGUUGGAGGAGAAAGAUGAUAAAAGAGAGGACGUGAAAGAUGAUAAUAAAAAGAAUCUAAAUUGUUUGUUGAUGUUCUAAAUUAUAUGCUAAUGUCAUAAAUUGCAUGUGUAUAUUCUACAUUCAUGCUUAUGUUAUAAAGUAAAUGAUUUAUUUGA